rnacentral:rRNA from 1 species
CACGUAGGGUGCGAGCGUUGUCCGGAAUUAUUGGGCGUAAAGAGCUCGUAGGCGGUUUGUCGCGUCGGCCGUGAAAACCUGCAGCUUAACUGUGGGCUUGCGGUCGAUACGGGCAUCACUGGAGUUCGGCAGGGGAGACUGGAAUUCCUGGUGUAGCGGUGAAAUGCGCAGAUAUCAGGAGGAACACCGAUGGCGAAGGCAGGUCUCUGGGCAUUAACUGACGCUGAGGAGCGAAAGCAUGGGGAGCGAACAGG